rnacentral:rRNA from 1 species
GAUGAACGCUGGCGGCGUGCCUAAUACAUGCAAGUCGAGUGAAUGGAUUAAGAGCUUGCUCUUAUGAAGUUAGCGGCGGACGGGUGAGUAACACGUGGGUAACCUGCCCAUAAGACUGGGAUAACUCCGGGAAACAGGGGCUAAUACCGGAUAACAUUUUGAACCGCAUGGUUCGAAAUUGAAAGGCGGCUUCGGCUGUCACUUAUGGAUGGACCCGCGUCGCAUUAGCUAGUUGGUGAGGUAACGGCUCACCAAGGCAACGAUGCGUAACCGACCUGAGAGGGUGAUCGGCCACACUGGGACUGAGACACGGCCCAGACUCCUACGGGAGGCAGCAGUAGGGAAUCUUCCGCAAUGGACGAAAGUCUGACGGAGCAACGCCGCGUGAGUGAUGAAGGCUUUCGGGUCGUAAAACUCUGUUGUUAGGGAAGAACAAGUGCUAGUUGAAUAAGCUGGCACCUUGACGGUACCUAACCAGAAAGCCACGGCUAACUACGUGCCAGCCGCCGCGGUAA